CUGUAAAUGAGAAUAUACAUCGGUCAACGUGACUUCUAUUCAACAUCUAUGGUCGCAAUCCCAAGGUUCAUUGCGAUCCCAAGGUCCACUGCGGUUUUCCACGCGAUGCAGAACCUUUAGACACUGGAUUAAUGUUCUGGAUUAAGUCCAAUGUAUUUAUUGGAAAACAGUAGAG